AGGACAGUUGAUUUACAGUGUUCUGUCAAAAAUGUGUUUAUUCUUUAAGUAAUUUCUCAGCUGGAAUUAAUUCUAUAGAUACAGUCACACAUUUAUGUGCAAACACAUAUGAAAGGGUGUCCCUUGUAUUACCGUUAGAGAAGAGGAAAAAAAAAAGCAAUCUAAAUCUCUAUCAAUAAUAGAGCUGCACGUAAGAGAUACCUAGACAGUGGAAUAGUAUACAGCCAUCCUUAAAACUGAAGGAUACCCAUACAGAAUGAAAUGGAAGUAAGUCUAUGAUCUACUAUGAAAGUCAAGAAGGCAAAGUGCACAAAUAAUAUGUAUGGUGUGACCCCGUCUGUGUUCUACUAUUAUAUAGCUAUGUUCAUGUAGGAAGAGAAACAUUCUAGAAGGUCACCUUUGGGAAUGGAUUCAAGGGAGGUGGUGGACAGAAAGAAACUUGAACCUCAAACAAAACAGAAAUGUGUUGGCUGUCUUUGGUUUCACUGUACCGUUCCCUUCCCCUCAGGCACCCCGGCUUCAGGAAGGGGCCUGCCGCUGUGCUCCCUGGGCUUUCUGUACAUGGCUCUGUUAUGGGGCCACUCAUACAACUGCCACCUUACUUGCUGGCUUCCCAUUAGUGCAGCGUUCCUUUGAGGGCAGGGCCUGGUUUUUUCUUCUGCUUUCUCAGCCCCUGAUGGAGCACCUGGCACAUAGCAACCACUGAAUAAAGGCUGGAGGAGGGGAGGAAGGAGGAAAGGAGGGCCCCACGUGAAGAUGAACCAGGUGGCAGCACACGGCACUACUUAGGGAAGGCAGAAGCCAGAGGUGAGGAUGGACGGCCAGAGAGAGAGCAACGAUUAGAAGAACAGUGAUUCGGUGAAGAGUCUAGUUCUCUCCCGCAGAGGCCUUGGGGUCUGUGAGCCAGACGGCAGGUGUCCUCCGGGGUAGCUGGGAACCAACACAUGCAGCCCCCACAGCCUCGGGCAAUUUCAGUGAGAAAGAAGCCAGGGCCACAGCCACAAUUCCUACAAGACCACAGGUGCUUCGUGUCUCCUUCCAGCAAGGACGAAGCCCUGAGAGCAGCUUCCAACCGCUCCAUCGUGCUGCUGCUAAGAGCCAGGGACCUCAGUCAUAGUCCUGCACCAUCCCUCAUGCCUCUAGAUCACUUCUGCUGAUGAUGAAAGGUUAGCUGACAAAAUCCACGUAAAGCAUUUAACAUAGUCCCUGGCACAAGAGGAGGUACUCAAAAUAUAAGCUACUAUUAUUAAGUUGCUCACAGAAUCUUCUCAAAAGAGUUCAAAGCACUACACCUGCAAAAGCCAUCAGGAAGUUUUCCAACAAGACCCAGGCCUCCCAUUUAUUUCUGCAAUAGAUAAACGUACUGUCUUCCUAAGCACAUUUAAAACAAACUGGAAGCUGCUGCUUCGGUUAUUUCUUACUUUUGUCAUCAUCUCAGAAUGAAGCUGGUCCUACUGGGCCACAAGUACUAUAGCACACUCCCACCUUAGAAAGCUCAAAUGUAAAUAAGCUUUAUAAAUUCAGCGCAUUUUCUAUCGUUCCGUCCUGAGAGCUAGCCCAUGCCUGACGUGGCCAGCCCUGGGAUUCACUUACCACACUGGGAGGGUCGUUCCACUCUUCAUAGGAGAUGGCGGCAUAUGGGUAGAUGCGGUCAUUGAUGAUCUGCAGGGUGGCCAGGGCAAUGGCUUUGAUUGACUGGAAGUAGGCUUCCCAGAACCACCGUGCCUAUGCUCCAUCACAGCCAAGCCCGGGUCUGGGUAAGUUCUUUAUCCCCGAGGAUGGGGGAGCCCAAAGCAAAGGCUUCCUGCUGUUGGAGCAGCUCCAUCAGAGUGACCCCAGGUCAAGGCAGCCAAAACGGAAGGUGAGCAGGUGAGACGCACACUGGAGUCACUUUCGGUGUAAGAGAAACUACAUGGUGACGAAAUAUCAGCGUGUCUAACCAGAGUAAGUUUAUAGCCUUUUUUAAAAAUACAACAUACAUAAAGUGCAUAAAUCCUAAGAGUACAACUCAACGAAUUUUUACAUAUAUACAUGCUUGUAUGAGGACUAUCCCGUUAAAGACACAGAAUAUUCCGGAUUCCCUUACGCUCCUUCCUAGUCAGUAUCUCACCCCCACAAGAAUCAUAAUUCUGAUUUCUGUUAUACUCAGUACUGAAUUUCAUAUUAAUGGAAUCAAAUAGCAUUUACGCUUCUGUACCUGACCUCUUUUGUUCAACACAGUUAAUAUGAAAAUCAGAUUUGUGUCAGGUUAUGCUGGCCUCAUAAAAUGAAUUGAAAAGUAAGUAGGAAAAGUUCCAUUCCUUGAGAAAUUUUAUGCAAGGUCAGAAUUACCUUUUCCUUGAAAGAUUUAGAAUCCAUCAAAAAAGCCAUCUGGGCUAGGUGGGGUUUUUUUGUUUUGGUUUGUUUUUUUAAUGUGUAAUGGUUUUAAAUCAUGGAUUAAUUUUUUUCAUAGACAUAAGAUUAUGCAUAUUUUCAUGUCUGUCAGCUUUGUUGGUAGUAUUUUUCAAGAAAUAUGUUCAGUUUACCUAAAUUGCUGAAUUUAUUGGACUAAAUGUGUGCUAAGUCUACUUGACGCCUACAAAAUCUGUGAUAAUAUACCUCUUUUCAUUCCUGAUAUGGAUAAUCUGUGUUUUCUCUUUGUACUUGAUCAGUUUUACUAAGUAUUUAUCAAUUAUAUUAAACUUUUCAAAAAGCCAAUGUUUGGUUUUGCUGAUUUUCUUUAUCUUACAUUUUUUUUCUAUUUUAUUCCUUUCUGCUCUUAAUAUUAUUUUAUUCUGUUCUGGGGGACUUAAUUCAUCUUUCAUUUAGCUACUUGAGACUAAGGUUAAGAUAUUAAGAUACUUCAGUCUUUCUUCUUUUUUAACACAAGUAAAGCUAUAAAUUUACUUCUAGGCAUUCACUAUUUUGAAUGCAUCCCACACAUUCAUAUAUCAUUUUCUUUAUAAUUUAGGAAAAAUUUUUUAAAUGUCCACUGUGAUACAUUCUUUGACCCAUAGGUCAUUAAGAAGUAUACUGUUCAGCUUCCAAACAUUUGGGGAUUUUCUAUACAUCUUCCUGUUACUGAUUUCUACUUUGAUUGUACUAUACUAGAGAACAUACACGUUAUUUUAAAACUUCACAAUUUAUUUAAACUUGGUUUAUGGCUCGGCACAUUGCUUAUUUUUGUAAAUGAUCUGUGUGCACUUUUAAAAAAGAGUAUUUUGCGGUUGAUGACUGUAAUGUUUUACAACUGUCAAGCAGAGUAAGUUGAUUAUUUGUAACAUUUAAAUAUUCCAUAUCCUCAUUGAUUUUUAUCUGCUUGUGUGUGUGCAUGUAUGUGUGUGUGUUUAUUUCUGAAACUUUUAUUUUCAAAUUUGUGCUCUCAAAGCUUGUUUCAGGACUGUCUCUUACAAGAGUUCCCAUGUGGCUCAGAGGGCUAAGGACUCAGUGUUGUCAGUGCAAUGGCUUGGGUCACUGCUGUGGUGUGGGUUCCAUCCCCGGCCCAGGAACUUCAGAUGCUGCAAGUGGGGCCAAAAAAAAAAAAAAAGAUUGUCUCUUAUAAAAAGGGUACAAAUGGAUUUUAAUAUUUUAUCCCAUUCAAAAAUCUCUGGCUUCCAAUAAUACAUAUAGUCCAUUUAUACUUAAUGCAAUUUCUGAUAUGUCUGGGUUUAAGUGUAUGCUCAUUCUCUUUGUUUUAUCUGUUCUCUGUUCCUUUAUUCCUCCUCUCUAGCCCUUAGAAUUGAUUAAAUUUUAUUAUUAUUCCAUGUUUUUUUUCUCCAUUAGCUUGCUGGUUAUUUAGUCUUCUGAUUUUUUUUUUUUAGUAGCUAUCCUAGCAAUUAGAGUAAGCAAUUUUUUUUAGUAGCUAUCCAGUAAUUAGAGUAAGUAUGACUAGCUUAUUAUAUUUCCAAUUAGUAAUUUUACAACUUAGCAAACAAUACAAGAACCUCCAUUUAUCCUCUCAUCCAUUAUGAUCUUAGUGUCAAAUAUUUUUCUUCUACAUAUUUUAAAUCCCAUAGACAUCAUUAUUAUUGCCUUUAAAAGUAAAUUUUUAUUUAUAUUUACCAUAUAUUUGCCCUUUUGACAUUCUUCAUUCCUUCGUGCAUACUUGAGCCUCCAUCUCAAAUUAUUUUCCUCUUGCUCAAAGAAUUUGUUUUGUUAUUUAUUUUUUCACUGCAGGUUAGCUGGCAGCAAAUUCUCUCAUUUUUAUUUGUUUAAAAGUUUCUCUCCCUGCACCCCCACCCAUUCAUUUUUGAAGAAUAUUUUUGCUGGGUAGAGAAUUCUAAGUUAGCAAUUACUUUUCUUCAGCACAUUCAAAAUACACUUCCAUUGUCAUCUGGCUUCAUCUAAUUUUUGCUAAUAAAUCAGUGUUAUUGGCUCCUUUGGAGAUAAUAUGCCUUUUCUUUCCGAGGGCAUUGAAGCUCUUCUCUGCUUUAGGCUUACAGCAGUUAAACUAUGUAUCUCACUUUUUUUUUUUUUUUUUUUUUAAAUACUGAUUUUGUCAGACUCUCCUUUUCUUCUAGGACUCCAAAUACACACGUAUAUAAAAUAUUUUCACCACGUCCCAUAGGUCUCAUCCUCUCUUUUCUGUAUUUUGCCUCUCUUCCUCUCUGUGCUCCAAUCUGGGUAUUUUCUACUAAUUUUUCUUCUGGUCCAAUAAGCCUUUAUCCUUUGUGUGUGUGUGUGUCUAAACUGCUACUAAACUCAUGUAAUGAACUCCUAAUUUCACUUCUUAUAUUUUUCAGUUCUAGAAUUUCUACU
rnacentral:lncRNA from 1 species